AGACGAGGAGCUUGCUCCGCUGACGAUAGCGGAGGACGGGAGAGUAACACGUGAAUAAGCUACCUAUUGGACUGGGAUAACUUCGGGAAACCGGAACUACUACCGGAUAACAUAUUGAACCGCAGGGGUCCCUAGUGAAAGACGGCUUUGCUGUCACUUAUUGAUGGAUCCGCGCCGCAGUGGCUAGUUGGUAAGGCAACGGCUUACCAAGGCAACGAUGCGUAACCAACCUGAGAGGGUGAGCGGCCGCACUGGAACUGAGACUCGGACCAGACUCCUACGGGAGGAAUCAUGAAGGAAUCUUCCGCAAUGGGCGAAAGCCUGACGGAGCAGCGCCGAGUGAGUGAUGAAGGUCUUCGGAUCGUAAAACUCUGUUAUUAGGGAAGAAUAAAUGUGUAAGUAACUAUCCACGUCUUGACAGUACCUAAUCAGAAAGUCCCGGCCAACUACCUGCCAACAACCGCGGGAGUACGUAUGUGGCAAACGUUAUGCGGAAUUAUUGGGCGUAAAGCGCGCGUAAGCAGUUUUUUAAAACUGAUGUGAUCGCCCACGGAUCUGCCGUGGAGGGUGAUUGGAUACUGGAUGACUUGAGUGCAGAAAAUGAAAGUGGAAUUCCAUGUGUACCGAUAAAUUGCGAAGAGAUAUGGAGGAACACCAGUGCCCAAGGCGACUUUACUGGUCUGUAACUGACGCUGAUGUGCGAAAGCGUGGGGAUCAAUCACCGAUUAGAUACCCUGCCAGUCCACUCCGUACUCGAUGAGUGCUAUGUGUUACGGUGGUUACCGCCCCUUACUGCUGCAGCUGACCGCACUAAGCACUCCGCCUGCGGAAUACGACCGCAA
rnacentral:rRNA from 1 species